GAUUAAAUGGGGGGCAGCUGAUGCAGCGACGCCGCGUGAGUGAUGAAGGCCUUCGGGUUGUAAAGCUCUUUUCUGCGGGAAGAUUAUGGCGGGUCCCCCAGAAAAAAACCUCGGUAAUUUCCUUGCCCCAACCCCGGGUAUUAAACAUGCCCCCCGCCGCUAUAAUAACGGUCUUUUGGCCUGAUUGUGUUAGUUUAGAUGCUCGUGCUGGUGUUGUUGUCCCCCGGGCGGGGGGGGGGGUCCUGCGUGGCUCAUUGAUGGACCGGUGGU
rnacentral:rRNA from 1 species